rnacentral:rRNA from 1 species
GUUGUAUAGUCAAGUAAUUAAGUGCAUGUGGUGGAUGCCUUGGCAGUCAGAGGCGAUGAAAGACGUGAUAGCCUGCGAAAAGCUCCGGGGAGGCGGCAAAUAUCCUUUGAUCCGGAGAUGUCUGAAUGGGGGAACCCACCUACUUUAAGGUAGGUAUUGCAACAUGAAUACAUAGUGUUGCAAGGCGAACGAGGGGAAGUGAAACAUCUCAGUACCCUUAGGAAAAGAAAUCAAUUGAGAUUCCCUCAGUAGCGGCGAGCGAACGGGGAUCAGCCCAUUAAGUUAUGUGUGUUUUAGUGGAACGCUCUGGGAAGUGCGAACGUAGAGGGUGAUAUUCCCGUACACGAAAGGGCACACAUAAUGAUGACGAGUAGGGCGAGGCACGUGAAACCUUGUCUGAAUAUGGGGGGACCAUCCUCCAAGGCUAAAUACUCCUGACUGACCGAUAGUGAACCAGUACCGUGAGGGAAAGGCGAAAAGAACCCCUGUGAGGGGAGUGAAAUAGAUCCUGAAACCGCAUGCAUACAAGCAGUGGGAGCACCUUCGUGGUGUGACUGCGUACCUUUUGUAUAAUGGGUCAGCGACUUAUAUUCAGUAGCGAGGUUAACCGUAUAGGGGAGCCGUAGAGAAAUCGAGUCUUAAUAGGGCGUUUAGUUGCUGGGUAUAGACCCGAAACCAGGCGAUCUAUCCAUGAGCAGGUUGAAGGUUGGGUAACACUAACUGGAGGACCGAACCCACUGUCGUUGAAAAGCCAGGGGAUGACUUGUGGAUAGGGGUGAAAGGCUAAUCAAGCCUGGUGAUAGCUGGUUCUCCCCGAAAGCUAUUUAGGUAGCGCCUCGGACGAAUACCAUAGGGGGUAGAGCACUGUUUCGGCUAGGGGGUCAUCCCGACUUACCAAACCGAUGCAAACUCCGAAUACCUAUGAGUACUAUCCGGGAGACAGACUGCGGGUGCUAACGUCCGUAGUCAAGAGGAAAACAAUCCAGACCGCCAGCUAAGGCCCCAAAAUCAUAGUUAAGUGGGAAACGAUGUGGGAAGGCAUAGACAGCUAGGAGGUUGGCUUAGAAGCAGCCACCCUUUAAAGAAAGCGUAAUAGCUCACUAGUCGAGUCGGCCUGCGCGGAAGAUGUAACGGGGCUAAAACUAUGUGCCGAAGCUGCGGAUGUAUACUUUGUAUACGUGGUAGGGGAGCGUUCUGUAAGCCGAUGAAGGUGUGUUGAGAAGCAUGCUGGAGGUAUCAGAAGUGCGAAUGCUGACGUGAGUAACGACAAAACGGGUGAAAAACCCGUUCGCCGAAAGACCAAGGGUUCCAGUCCAACGUUAAUCGGGGCUGGGUGAGUCGACCCCUAAGGCGAGGCCGAAAGGCGUAGUCGAUGGGAAAAUGGUUAAUAUUCCAUUACUUCUGUGUAAUGCGAUGAGAGGACGGAGAAGGCUAAAUCAGCCUGGCGUUGGUUGUCCAGGUGAAAGGAUGUAGGCAUGUAUCUUAGGCAAAUCCGGGGUACUCUAUGCUGAGAUCUGAUAGCAAGCUGUACUUGUACAGCGAAGUGGUUGAUGCCAUGCUUCCAGGAAAAGUCUCUAAGCUUCAGUUACACAGGAAUCGUACCCGAAACCGACACAGGUGGUCAGGUCGAGUAGACCAAGGCGCUUGAGAGAACUCUGCUGAAGGAACUAGGCAAAAUGGUACCGUAACUUCGGGAGAAGGUACGCUGUUGUUGGUGAUGGAACUCGCUUCCUGAGCUGACGACAGCCGCAGAAACCAGGCCGCUGCAACUGUUUAUUAAAAACAUAGCACUCUGCAAACACGAAAGUGGACGUAUAGGGUGUGAUGCCUGCCCGGUGCUGGAAGGUUAAUUGAUGGGGUUAGCGUAAGCGAAGCUCUUGAUCGAAGCCCCAGUAAACGGCGGCCGUAACUAUAACGGUCCUAAGGUAGCGAAAUUCCUUGUCGGGUAAGUUCCGACCUGCACGAAUGGCAUAAUGAUGGCGGCGCUGUCUCCAGCAGAGGCUCAGUGAAAUCGAAAUCGCUGUGAAGAUGCAGUGUACCCGCGGCUAGACGGAAAGACCCCGUGAACCUUUACUGCAGCUUGACACUGAACUUUGACCUUACUUGUGUAGGAUAGGUGGGAGGCUUUGAAGCUGGAACGCUAGUUCCAGUGGAGCCGUCCUUGAAAUACCACCCUGGUAAUGUUGAGGUUCUAACUCUGUCCCGUGAUCCGGGACGAGGACCGUGUCUGGUGGGUAGUUUGACUGGGGCGGUCUCCUCCUAAAGAGUAACGGAGGAGUACGAAGGUGCGCUCAGCGUGGUCGGAAAUCACGCGUAGAGUAUAAAGGCAAAAGCGCGCUUAACUGCGAGACCCACAAGUCGAGCAGGUACGAAAGUAGGUCUUAGUGAUCCGGUGGUUCUGUAUGGAAGGGCCAUCGCUCAACGGAUAAAAGGUACUCUGGGGAUAACAGGCUGAUACCGCCCAAGAGUUCAUAUCGACGGCGGUGUUUGGCACCUCGAUGUCGGCUCAUCUCAUCCUGGGGCUGAAGCAGGUCCCAAGGGUAUGGCUGUUCGCCAUUUAAAGAGGUACGCGAGCUGGGUUUAGAACGUCGUGAGACAGUUCGGUCCCUAUCUACCGUGGGCGCUGGAAAUUUGAGAGGAUCUGCUCCUAGUACGAGAGGACCAGAGUGGACGAACCUCUGGUGUACCGGUUGUGACGCCAGUCGCAUCGCCGGGUAGCUAUGUUCGGAAGGGAUAACCGCUGAAAGCAUCUAAGCGGGAAGCCUACCUCAAGAUAAGAUUUCCCUAGGACUUUAUGUCCUCUAA